GUCCAUACAAACUAAUGGUGUAUGACAUAGUAAGUAAUUCUAGCCAUUUGAGAAACUUCAUGAGUCAAUAAACAUUAAGAUGAUAGGCACCCAGCAGUGUGCUCCAUGUUGUAUCUUAUAAAAAAAUGAAUACAUCUGCAAAUGUAUCUGCAAAACAGGGUGCCUUAUGAUAUGCAGCACACCUCUAAUACUGAAAGAGCCUUGACUGGACUAGUACCUGGAAAGAAAAUCCACAUGCUCUGGUAUAUAGGAAUAUUUGGCAAAUCUGAAUUAAGCUCCAAAGUGUAGUAAGUGGUAUUCAUCUCCCUGUAUGGAUGCUCUUACUCAGAAUGAAAGUAGCUUAAAUAACAUUUCUUCCCACAGGACUCGAUUCAAACAAGGAUUUAGGAGUGUUUAGCUGGAGUUGUUUCAAGACCUGUGUCUCAAGUGUAAGGAGCAUUACCUGCAAGACAGGGAUAUCUUUCACUUGACAAGUAGGACUGAAAAUAUUUGGACUCCUUUCAAUUUAUUUUACAAGUGUUAGUGCUUGUCCUGGCUAAAUUCCAGGCAGCAGUAAGAGUGGAUUUAAGGAAGGGAGUUGGAAGACAUGAGGGAUGUCCUCUUGUGAAGACUCUAGAUACUCUGAAUUCAAUUAUCUGCUUAAACAUAUUUUUUCUUUGUCACCUUGACAAGUCAGAGUUUCUAUCUCCUUUCUUUGAAUUUAGUAAAAGAGAAGGAUUGGUGGCUGGAGGAUGGGGAGUAAUUGUACUUUUCAGAGAGCAGUCCUAUGAAGGCAUCUUCAAGACCCAAGAGAGGGCUGCUACCGCACAAGCUUCAUGGUGAUGUGAUGAAGAUCCAAGACGCUGAACACACACAUGCGUAUACAAAAAUUAUGUUACUCUUCAAACUUCUUGCCAAAUGCCACCAUACUGUCUUAUUCAGCUGGGAUGAAAUUGUUAUCUUCAGAGUGUUUGCUAUGAUGCUAUGUUCCGGUUCUAGGAGAAAAACAAUGUUGAUAACACACCAAUGUUUAUAGUUGCUGCUAAGCAGUAUUGUACAGAGCCAAGGUUAUUCACCUCCUAUUCACCAAAAGGCCCAAGGAGAUGGGAGGGAACAGAAUUAGGACAAGUGACUUAAACUGCCAAGUGGAUAUUCCAUACCAGAUGACAGCAUGUGGAAGGAGUUUUGAAGGGGUGAGAGUUCAUCUCUGUCUUCUGCUGCCCAGGAACUAGUUGGACAUUGGUCAGUGGGUAGCAAGCAAUUGCUUGUGCAUCACUUGUUAUAUACAUUCAUAUAUAUAUGAAUAUAUAUAUAUAUAUAUAUAUACAUAUAUAUAUAUAUACGGGUAUAGUCAUAACUAUUAUCCUGUUCAUUUUCUCUUUUUUAUUAAAUAGUUUUAUCUCAAAAUUCAACUUCUUUCUUCUUCCCUGAUUCUCUCCCCCCAUUCCACUGGGAAUGUGGUAAGUGUGCAAAUAACUGUGUAGUCCUGGGCCAUCUGCUGGGUUAAACCACAACACAGAGCAAAAGAUGAGUCUUUAAGCAACUGAAGGACACCAUAUCAUGGAUACUUUAGAGUGAUCAGAGUUCAGACCCCACUGAUAUAACUUAGAGCAAAGACUAGCUCCACAGAUCAGGGUGAAAGUUCAGUCUGUGAUAUGGGUACAAGACAGUCACAUGGUGUACUUUUUAAAAGUAUUUGCAAGUAAUGCUGGCAGCAAAUUUGUUUUGCUGUGUAAUGACCCACUCAUUCUUGUCUUCUGUUGCCUUUCAUUUCUGUUUUUUGUUUUUUUUUCCCCUUGAACUAGGAUGUAGGCAAUGAUCAGUGGGUGUGAGGCGUAACAUAAGAGGUCCCACAUAAAUAUGAGAAAAAACUUAUUCACGAUGAGGGUGACAGAACACUGAGAUAGGCUGC
rnacentral:lncRNA from 1 species